rnacentral:lncRNA from 1 species
CUCCAUAGGAUGGAGCACCGAUUCCCCAUGGCUGGGAGCCAGUGACUCCCUGCUCGGGUCCUGUCCUUGCUGUGGUACCCCAGCUGUUUGCCUUUCUCUAGGCCAUCCUCUUUUGGUCACCAGGAGGCCUUGGCAGGGUGGUGCCAGAAAGCAUGAGCUGGGCUGCCCAAACUCCUUCACUCGAAAUCUGUGAGACCUAGGCUAAUUCAGUGUCCUGAAGGUUUGGGAGGGAAAAAUCAAAAGCUUGGUUUUCAACAAAUUCAAUUAGACAUGCCUGUGGAACUCUCCAGCGGGAAGCUACAUCUGGCUGUAAAACUUGGGAGAUUGGUAACCUAAAGGAAAGAGAGAAAUUCUGAAAAAAAGUACGACUUCUAUAUCAAGGUUGAAUCAGAAAGAAACAGAAAACCUAAACAGACCAAUAAACAAUAAAGAGAUUGAGGUCAUAAUUUAAAACCUCCCAACAGCUGGGUGCAGUGACACAGGCCUAUAAUCCCAGCAGUGUGGGAGGCUGAGGCAGAAGGAUUGCAAGUUUGAGGCCAGCCUCAGCAACUUAGAGAGACCCUAUCUCAAAAACUAAAAGUGAAAAAGGACUGGGGAUGUAACUCAAUGGUAAAGCACCCUGGGUUCAAUCCCUAGUAAAAAAAAAGCAGACUCUCUCAACAACGAAAAGCAGCCCAGAACCAGACAGCUUUUAUAGCUGAACUUGACAAUGUCAAGGAGGAAUUAAUACCAAUAUUUCCUAAAUUCUUCCAAAAGCCAUAAUACUUCCUAACACAUUUUACAAGGCCAGCAUCAGCUUGAUACCUGUGCCAGACAAAGACAACACAAGAAAAUGAAACUACAGGCCAAUAAUUCUGAUGAACAUGGAGGCAAAACUCCUUGAUAAAAUAUUAGCAAAUCAAAUACAACACAUCAAAAAGAUGGCACAUCAUGAUCAAGUGGGAUAUAUCCCUGGCAUGCAAAGCUGGUUUGGCAUAUGCAAAUCAAUCAGUGUGAUACAUCACAUUAACAGGCUGCAAGACAAAAACCACAUGAUCACAUCAAUUGAUGCAGG